UAUUGCUGUCGCAGGUAGAGAGACUAGUAAAGUAGCCGAGUGAGCUGCUGAGGAUCAUAGUACUACCUUUGAAUCUUUUGUCGGGUAUUACAUUAUACCCUUAUUGUACAUAUUUAUUUUGAUGUAUAUGACUGUAUGUACAUGUUGUAAAUUGAUCUUGAGCAGUUGUACAGAACUUGUAAUAAAAUAUUUUGGAUUUUCUGAUGUAAAUUUAGAUUGAUGAAUGUAAAUUAAUUUUUCUUUAAUAGAGUGUGAAUGAAAUUAUUUAACAUUAUUUUUGAAGAUAUUUGAGUUGAAAAUUGACUUGAAUUGUGGAGUUGGGAAAAAUUGUGAUGAAUUGAGCUAUGAUGGUGGUUAAUUUUAGUAAAGUGCAUAAAUUGGAAGUGUUUUCUACAGGUGAAAAUUUUUUGUUUUCUCAAAUACAACAGGCACUCUGCCAAAAUUUUUCUAAAAUUUGCGAAAAAAUAAAAA
rnacentral:misc_RNA from 1 species